UCCUACGGGGGGCAGCAGUAGGGAAUCUUCCACAAUGGGCGAAAGCCUGAUGGAGCAACGCCGCGUGGGUGAAGAAGGUCUUCGGAUCGUAAAACCCUGUUGUUAGAGAAGAAAGUGCGUGAGAGUAACUGUUCACGUUUCGACGGUAUCUAACCAGGAAGCCAAGGCUAACUACGUGCCAGCAGCCGCGGUAAUACGUAGGGGGCAAGCGUUAUCCGGAUUUAUUGGGCGUAAAGGGAACGCAGGCGGUCUUUUAAGUCUGAUGUGAAGGCCUUCGGCUUAACAGGGGUA
rnacentral:rRNA from 1 species